UCAGCUCGGCAUAGCAUUUCUUAAAUAGAAAAGCGGGUGAAAUCCCAAACUUGACCCAAGCAACAAAAAAGAGAAAUCACAAGUUUCAGAAACCAGAUUGUGAACCCAAGAAGUCAGCCAGUUUGCCCAAAUGCUAAUGAAACCUGUUUCAAUACAGCCAGCACAAGUUAUGACUAAUAGAUAACUCUGCUGAUAAAAAAAAGGAUAUAAUAGUUGCUACAACUUGAUGUAUCCAUUGACAAGCAAAAGAGGAGGGUGAGAGAUGGGUAUAUAACCUCAAACUCUGAACAUUGUGCAUCACCUGAUGACUAGGCAGACCUCCCUUGCUACAACUAUGAAAAUUCCCACGAACAAGGAGGUUACCGGCACUAGCAGAGACAGUAGUGAUGAAUCAUAACAUCUCUUGUGACUUCCUCACACAACGGCUGACUUUCUUCUUGAAUUCGUCUCUCUUCUCUCU
rnacentral:lncRNA from 1 species